CUGAACUUAGGUCUGUCUCCUUAAACCUGGGACCCUGGCUGCACCCAGACCUUCCCAGGGCCCCGUGGAGAGGGUGUAUUGGUGUAACUGCACAGAUAGGGUGUUGCAUGGAGAUGGGGGGUGAGCAGUAGCAGCCCAGAGGGCUGUUUGGAUAGAUGUUGUCUGAGAAGGGGACUCAGGAAGAGAGCCCAAAGUGAAGUCACUUCCUUGACAAUAGACCCCCACAGAACUUGGAACCCCUGUAACCAGGCGCCCACAUUCCAGUGACAGCCCCAUACCCAGCCCACUUGGCCAGACACUUCACUUACAAAUAUGUUCUCCCGCUGUGUCCUCACUUAACGGGGCUCUUGUUUUGGGACAGCCUGGAGUGAGAGCCUUUUCGGAAGCUGCAGACAUUUGUUCAACCCUCACUCGACCCAGACACCUCUGGCCAUUUGACAGGAGGUCCCCUAAGAGCUCCACCCAGGAGACGGGACAGGAGCUGAUCAGUGGGGUCCUCUACUGCAUCUGCCUGCAGGGGAGCAGGUGCCCCACACCAGCCACAGAGUCCGGCGCUGGCUCAUGGGUGAAAAUGUGUCCACAGUGAAAUGGAAGAGACCCGCAUGGUGUGGACCGUCCAGGGAGGCAGGCCAGAAAAGCAAGUGGAGCACCUGGUGUUCGCCUUCCUGGGCAGUGACCCCUCAUACGUGCCCACCCUCCUGGGCACCUGCAGAGCUUCUGCCAACACCCAACAGCACUCGACCUGCUGUUCAAAGGAUCAUCUCCUCAAUCCUGGGCACCUGACUGGACCAGGAUUUCCACCAGCCACCAGAAUUUCCCUGCCUGAAGAUGCUACUGGCCUACACUGGGCUCAACAUGCCGGCUCGGACCUGGAGCGCCAUGCCCACCCGCUUCUGGCACAACUAGAGCACCUUAAGCCCAUUGAGGUACCAGCUCCAGAGCAAGCUCUAGAACCACUUCAAGAGUUAGUGCCAGCUCCCAUUCUACUGCCCACUACAGUUCCAGAGCCAGAGCCAGCUCAAGCCACAGCUCUCAUUCAAUUCAAGAGCUCAAACAAGCAUAUAUGUCAGCUAUAAUUCCUGAGCCAGGGAGUGCUCAAGCCACAGCUGUCAUUCAAGCUCAAGAGCUAGAACAAGCACCUACAUAAGCUCCAAUUCCAGAGCCAGGAAAGGUUCAAGCAACACCUCCCACCUAAUGUCCAGAGCUAGAAGCAUCACGAAAACCUAUUCUAGUAUGAGCUCCAGAACUCCAGCAAGUUCCAUCAACAGCUCCAGCUCCAGAGCACAAGCCAACCACAGCAAGAGCACUACCGCCAGCUCUUGAGCCCCAUAGUGCUUUGGCACCAGCUCCAGUUCUAGAACUAAAGACAAUAACAGACCCCAUUCUCAAAGCAACACUGGUGCCAGAGCCAGUUCCUCCCCCAGUAUACUAGAGCUGGUACCAGCUCAGCAACCAGCGCCAGCUCCUGCAACGCCUCCAGGGCCCGAUCACAAGCUGCAACUCACACCAGCUGCAGCCCCAGAGACUUCCUUCCCCUCCCCUAUAAUUCCACUUUUUAAAUUUUUGUUUUUCCUUAUAUUUACUCAAUAUUUUACUAUAUUCUAUCAUAUAAAAUUCACAAAAUAAAAUUUAACUCUUUGAUCACUUUAAAUGGGACAUUAAGUACAUUCACAAUCUUGCAUAAUCCCCACUGCUGUCUAUUCCAGAACAUUUUCAUCAAAGAGAAGCCCCGUAUCUACUAGUCAGUCACUCCUCCUUCCUGUCACCCAGCCCCUGGCACCGACUAUCUUCUUUAUGUCUCUAUGGAUUUAUCAAAACGGGGCUGUCCAUAUCAGAGGAAUCAUAUAAUAUGUGGCCUUCUGUGUCUGGCUAAAUAAUGCAUGAGGAGACUGAUUAAUGAUCAUUUUUAUUUCAACAGAAGUAAUUUUUUUUAUUAACAAGGACAAUCCUUGAUCCAUGAAAGAUUAUGUGUAGGAAAUGAUGCCUAAAUAUUAAAUGUUUUCAUUACCUUGGGAUAGGGAACACUUUCACAUGUAUGACACAAGAGCCAGCAACAUAAGGGAAAUAUCUGAACAGUGAGACACUUAAAAUCUUUUCUUUUUUGGAUUGGCAAUGUGUGAAUUUUUUCUAACAUGUAUUUUUUUAAAAUUGAUAUCACAUAUUAAAUGUUAUCCAUUUAUCACAAAUCUCUUAAUUAAUAAUGUACUUUAUAUGGUUUUUUAAAGUUUAAGAUAAAGAUAAUGUUUAUUUAUUAAAAUAAGGAUUUAAAUAUGGACUAAUAAAGGAAGAUAUACUCCUCCUACCAAGAAAUAGUUGCCCACAGCACGUGGCGUCCAUCCUUCCAUCCUUUCCCUUUAAGUGCAGGUGGCGGGUGUGUGUGUUUGAGGGUGUGGUGUGGGGAUUCCAGGGCUGUGCUCUUCUGUAACCUGAUGUCCCCACAGGUGGACAUGCACAGUCAGUCCUGUCCCCUUGUGCAUUCUCAGUGGCCACACAUCACGACUUACUCAGCAUCCCCGGCUGUUGAACAAUGGGGCCAUUUCCAAUUUUUCACUCCCAAAAUUGUGCUGAAAGGUACAACUGUGUCCAUAAAUCUCUAUUCUUUUAGGACUGAUCCCUAUAAAUGGAAUUUCUGGAACACAAUAUGUCCACGUUUUAAGGUAUUGCUGUGGCUUCCAUUACCUGCGGUCUCUUUAUGAAGUUUAAGCUUUGUUUGGGAAAGCAGGGACUCCAGAGACACUUGGUUGAACAUAAGCAUUUUGAGGAAGUUGAAAAAGCCAGCAGUGGAGGCCAUCAGGAUACCUGGGAGUGAUCCAUGGAGCAGGGAGGGCCCCUGAAGACCCCACCAGAUACCUCUUCCACAACACCCACUGCUCCAUGCCCUGGACCAUGUGUCUCCCAGCCCCUUCUAUGACACACCCCAGGCCCCACCCAGCGGCCACCCCAGCCCCUCCUGCUCCACAACUCAGCCUCUGGGCAAAGCCAGACCCUGCCAUCUAGGACAGAGGAAGGUACAGGCCAGGCCACUCCUGUCUGCCAUCUUCCCCCAUGCCAGAGUCCCUUUCUCUCCACAGGAAAGCUCCUCUAAGGGCACGUCAGCGUGUUGUAGGCAUGACCUUGAAUGUGUUCAAUCCAGGUGAAGUUCUCAGUUGCAACAGCAGGACCCACUUGAGCUUGUGUGAGCAGAAGAGGCCUUUAUAAAGCACAUCAAGGGCUCUUGGAAGCUGCGUGAAGGUCAGAGGCUCAGGCCAGGGUAUUGGAGCUGGGCACAGCCCCAAAUCACCCCUCAGGCUCCUCCAGCAGUGACCCCCUGUGCCCAGCCCUGUGCCAGCCCCCGGCCCUGCUAUCCCUCACAUUAGGCUUCUGUGUUGGAGUGAGCUCUGCCUCCUGCCCAAGACUCCAAGUGAGGAUGAAAAAGGGAGCCCUAUUCUCCCUCAAAAUAAGAUCAAGUUGAGUCCUCUGGUCAGAGGCUGUUGAGUGAGGCCAUGGUCAGCGAUCUCUCUCUUCUCUGGGAAUCCAGAGAUGGAUCCCCCAUGCAGAGAACAUUGGUCUUCAUUGGGAAGAAACUGGAGCUCUCCCUAGAGGGGCACGGGCUCUGUGUCGGAUUGCAGGAAGGGGCCAGGAAUCAUCCUGCCAAAGUUUCAUCCAAAACCACAUUCUCCUCCAGAAAACAUCUUCAAUUCUGACCACCAAAAUGACUGUGGGCUACCUGGCAGCCAUGGAAGCCCAACAUGCUGCCUACCUUGUGAGCAGAGAGGAGGGAUGAAAAAUGCAUGACCCAGGGCAGAAACAUUUCCUGCCUCGGCAAAGAGGGUGCCCUGUCAUUGGAGCAGAAAAUGCAUGCACGGAAUCCCAGAAUGCAGAUCUCAAAAUGUAGCAUGUCACUGUCUACAGACACUAAGAUCCGAGCCAAGUAUGGAGCUGGCACUGGAGUUACUUACUCAUAGAGAUACUUUUAUCUCUGGAGUUGGUAGUAAUGAUUGUUCUUGAGAUACACAUCUUUGCCAACAGUUUCUAAUUUCUGUGUGUGUGUGUUAAUUAUAGCCAUUGCAGUGGGUGUGGAGUGGUAUCUCAUUGUGGUUUUGAU
ensembl:lncRNA